rnacentral:rRNA from 1 species
AGAGUUUGAUCCUGGCUCAGGACGAACGCUGGCGGCGUGCUUAACACAUGCAAGUCGAACGGUAAGGCCCUUCGGGGUACACGAGUGGCGAACGGGUGAGUAACACGUGGGUAAUCUGCCCUGCACAUCGGGAUAAGCCUGGGAAACUGGGUCUAAUACCGAAUAGGACCACAGGACACAUGUCCUGUGGUGGAAAGCUUUUGCGGUGUGGGAUGGGCCCGCGGCCUAUCAGCUUGUUGGUGGGGUGAUGGCUUACCAAGGCGACGACGGGUAGCCGGCCUGAGAGGGUGUCCGGCCACACUGGGACUGAGAUACGGCCCAGACUCCUACGGGAGGCAGCAGUGGGGAAUAUUGCACAAUGGGCGAAAGCCUGAUGCAGCGACGCCGCGUGGGGGAUGACGGCCUUCGGGUUGUAAACCUCUUUCACCAUCGACGAAGGUCCGGGUUUUCUCGGGCUGACGGUAGGUGGAGAAGAAGCACCGGCCAACUACGUGCCAGCAGCCGCGGUAAUACGUAGGGUGCGAGCGUUGUCCGGAAUUACUGGGCGUAAAGAGCUCGUAGGUGGUUUGUCGCGCUGUUCGUGAAAUCUCACGGCUUAACUGUGAGCGUGCGGGCGAUACGGGCAGACUUGAGUACUGCAGGGGAGACUGGAAUUCCUGGUGUAGCGGUGAAAUGCGUAGA